CAGGUCUAAAAACUGGUGGUUACAUAGAUGGAGACAUUCAUAUAUCAAGAUAUCCCACGAAACAAGAAACAUUUUAUAAAAUUUCUGGAUAUUGUGAGCAGAAUGACAUCCACUCACCACAUGUACGGUCUAUGAAUCACAUCUUUACUCCGCCAGGAAGCGUAUGCCUGAAGAAGUUGAUGCUGAAGCAAGAAAGGAGGUCAUGGAACUCGUGGAGCUGAAGAUACUGAGGGUGCGCUUGUAGGAUCACCUGGAGUGAAUGGCUUGUCAACCGAGCAUCGAAAGAGACUGGCAAUUGCCCUAUAGUUUGUUGCCAACACAUCUAUAAUAUUUUUUUAUGAACAAACCUCUGGGCUUGAUGUAAGGGCCUCAACCAUUGUGAAGAUGGCAGUAAGUAACACUGUCGACACUGGUAGGACAGCGGUGUGCAGAACUCACAAGCCAACCAUUGACAUAUUCCAAACACUGUGGACACUGGUAGGACAGCGGUGUGCAGAACUCACAAGCCAAGCAUUGACAUAUUCCAAGCUUUUGAUGAGCUUUUCCUAAUAGAACGUGGCCAAUAAGAGAUUUAUGUUUGUCCAUUGGGGCAUAGUUCAUGCCAUCUCAUUGAGUACUUUGAGCUAAGCAUAAGAAAGAAUAGAAUGGAUAAAAAAAAAUCAUAUCAGAGAUAAAUGUUCAGAUCAUGUAUGUGAUUGCAAUCUCACUUUCUUCAUUAUUAUUGAGGAUGUUGAGGGAGUUGGGUCGAUUAAAGAUGUUUAUAACCCAGCAACAUGGAUGCUAGGAAUGACCACCCAUGCUUAAGAGGACAUUCUUUGUUGAAAUAUACCGAAACUCUGACCUCUACUGAAUACUCGCCAUCAUUCUUGACUCGGUGCAAAGCUUGCGUAUGAAGAUAUCCCACAAAACAAGAAACAUUUUCUAAAAUUUCUGGAUAUUGUGAGCAGAAUGACAUCCACUCACCACAUGUACGGUCUAUGAAUCACAUCUUUACUCCGCCAGGAAGCGUAUGCCUGAAGAAGUUGAUGCUGAAGCAAGAAAGGUCGGUAAGGAAAAAAAUCUAAAGAAAAGAAAUCUUACUUACUUCGACAUGGAGGUAACUAUUAUAAAUAAAUGAAUAACUGCAAUUGUUCUUUGAGGAGGUCAUGGAACUCGUGGAGCAGAAGAUACUGAGGGAGCGUUUGUAGGAUCACCUGGAGUGAAUGGCUUGCAACCGAGCAGCGAAAGAGACUGGCAAUUGCCCUAUAGUUUGUUGCCAACACCUCUAUAAUAUUUUUUUAUGAACAAACCUCUGGGCUUGAUGUAAGGGCCUCAACCAUUGUGAAGAUGGCAGUAAGUAACACUGUGGACACUGGUAGGACAGCGGUGUGCAGAACUUACAAGCCAAGCAUUGACAUAUUCCAUGCUUUUGAUGAGGUAACUUAAAAAAUUAUUAUUUCAUGCCUUAUGCUAGGAUUAACAUAUUUCUUGGGUCUAUUAAACUGCAGCUUUUCUUAAUGGAACGUGACCAAGAAGAGAUUUAUGUUGGUCCAUUAGGCAUAGUUCAUGCCAUCUCAUUGAGUACUUUGAGCUAAGCAUAAGAAAAAAUAGAAUGGAUAAAAAAAAUCAUAUCAGAGAUAAAUGUUUAGACCAUGUAUGUGAUUGCAAUCUCAGUUUCUUCAUUAUUAUUCUGAAUGUUGAGGGAGUUAGGUCGAUUAAAGAUGUUCAUAACCCAGCAACAUGGAUGCUAGGAAUGACCACCCAAGCUUAAGAGGACAUUCUAGGGGUUAACUUUGUUGAAAUCUACUGAAACUCUGACCUCUACCGGUAACUUCACCAACCAUACAGUUUCAGCUAUUUUAAACAGCUUUAGCUUAACAUAAAUCACUUUCUAAAUGUAGAAGAAACAAAGCUCUAAUCAAUGAACUAAGCGCUCCUUCUGCUGGUUCAAAUGAUCUUUUUUUUCCAACCGAAUACUCGCAAUCAUUCUUGACUCGGUGCAAAGCUUGCCUAUGAAAGCUGCACAAGUCAUACUGGCGCAAUCCCUCUUACACAGCCACACAAAUCUUCUUCACUACUUUCAUUGCUAUAAUUUCUGGGACAAUUUUAUGGAAACUUGGUACAAAAGUGCAAGUUGACACAAUAGUAUCUGUCUUGCUGUCUUGAAUAACUUUGAACUGGGAACAUAAUAACAUAAAUAAAUAAAACAAAUAAAUAAACUCUCUGAAUAUAUAGGGGUACACAGCACGACCUGUUCAACUCUUUAGGCUCAAUAUAUGCAACUGUUCUAUUCAUUAGAAUACAUAAUGGACGAACUCUGCAUCCCAUUGUGGGUGCUGAACGAACAGCUUUCUAUUGGGAGAAGGCUGCUGGAAUGUAUCUGCACUUCCUUAUGCAUUUGCGCAGGUAUGCUUGUUGAUUUCCAAAUUUAAUCAAAGCAAAGCAAAUUUUGUUUAGAUUGCUCUAUUCAUCAGCCUCUAACCUUACCCUAUGGCAGUUUCUCAUUGAGAACCCACACAUCUUUCUUCAGACCAUCAUUUAUGGUCUGAUUGUCUACAGCUGCAUUUCUUUCAACUGCACAUUAGUGAAAUUCCUUUGGUACUUGUUCUUCAUGUUCAUAGUCUUCAUGUACUUCCUUCUAUGGCAUGUGGGUAGUGGCCAUGACACCGAACAGUGACAUUAAUGCCAUAGUCUCCACAGCAUUCUAUGCAAUACGGAACAUCUUUGCACGUUAUCUAAUCACUUGACCAAUAAGUUUAACUUUACUCUCAAAAUAAAAAAAGCCUCUUUUAUCAAUAAUGCAGCAUAAGCACUAAUGCUGUUUUUAUAACACUAGCAGAGAAUUCCUGCAUGGUGGAGAUGGUACUCAUGGGCCUGCCCUGCUGCAGACUUUGUAUGUAUUGGUUGCCUCUCAGUUUGGUGAUUGUACAACCUCCGUUGAAACUAUUGACACUAUUCAGGAGCUUUUGAGGAGAUACUUUGGGUUCAGACAUGACUUCCUGGGAUCGGUGGCUCCUGCCACUGCUUUGUUGUGCUUUGUGCUUUUGUCUUUGCAUUCACAAACUACUUAUGAUGUUUUCCUUUUUGAAAAUUUAUUCAUUCAGAUUGGAAUUUGGGUUGUUAAUGUUUCUGUAUAGUUUAGUCUUUGUAAAACCUAUCUUGGUUUCCAUUUAAGCUGCUGCUAUUCUAAUGAGUGCAACCGAGUUGUCUAAAUAGGCGUGAAAGGGUGUGCUCUUGUAAUGUGCAUUCCUAGAAAUUUUCUGUACCUUCUUUUGUAACAAUGCAUGUAAAAUACUUAUUUACUCAUAUUUCAAUGGAUUACAUCUACCAAAAAUAUUUUCUCAUGGGAGUCGGGUUACAUUAACCAAAUACUAGGGUUACUGUAGAGAAAGAACACGACAUGUAUUAGGAGAUCACAUACAAAACAGUCAAACUUUUCAUAUAUACAAAACUAACAUCCUCCUACCUCCAUUUUUCAAAUUCUCUGUGUGCAAAUAUAAUAGGAAUCCAACAAGAAUUGCAGAAAGGGAUGAAUUUACCGGCAUUUCUGUAUGGAGACUUUUUUUCAGACAAUUUAUUCUGGAGCCAAAUUGGUGUGAUGCAGUAGCAUAACUCGAAAUAAAAAAACUCUUCUGCCCAUAAAGAUGAGGUAAAACAUUAACAACUUUAGUUUCGAUGCGUCAUUCUCUCUGCACAACACCAAACAAAGAUACAAGACGGAUUGCACAAAGCCUAGUUUUAAUGAAUGCUUUUGAGCUUAUACGCGGAAACAGGCGGAAAAUCAAACAACAGAGACCCUACUGAUCCAUCUCCCGACUUCCAAUGGCAUCUCCUUCUAAUCAAAACCAUAAUUCCCUCGCCAUCAAAACCCAGUUCUCCCUAAGCCGAACAAGAUGAUUUUAAGAGCCAAGGUAGCACAACUACAAGCGCGGAACUG